rnacentral:tRNA from 1 species
AUUAUUUUGGCAGAUUAGUGCAUUAAAUUUAGAAUUUAAUUAUAUAGUAUAUACUAUAAAUAAUAC